rnacentral:ncRNA from 1 species
GAAAAAGCGAAGAUAGGGAAGAGUACGGCGUAACCCGCCUUGCAGAGAGGGAAAUCAAUAGCUGCGAGAUUUCCUAGGUUUGUGGUCGUCGGAAGGUCGCCCCGGAGCUGCUUCUUUGAACGAUAGUAGAAGAAGCCGGCACGUCGCCGUUAUCGAUUUGAGUGCUUAAGCAUCGCUUAAGAAAAAGGUGGUACCGCGAAAGAGUCUCCUUUCGUCCUUUUC